UACAGAGGUCUCAAGCGGUGUUCGGAUUCAUUGGGCGUAAAGGGUGCGUCGGCGGCGCGGUAAGUCGGGUGUGAAAUCUCGGAGCUUAACUCCGAAACUGCAUUCGAUACUGCCGUGCUUGAGGACUGGAGAGGAGACUGGAAUUUACGGUGUAGCGGUGAAAUGCGUAGAUAUCGUAAGGAAGACCAGUGGCGAAGGCGGGUCUCUGGACAGUUCCUGACGCUGAGGCACGAAGGUCAGGGGAGCAAACAGG
rnacentral:rRNA from 1 species